UUGAAGGAAUUUGGCUUCUUAAUCACCAAAAACAACAAAUAAUCUGGUUUAUUGGAAUCCAUAAUCAAAUAAUUUCUCGCCAUUUGAAAGUUAGACAAUAUAGAAUAGGGUAACUUAUAGGGUACAUCCGAUACAUUAAUAAGUAAUAUACUUAUCGCUUAUAAAGAAGUAAUUGUUUCUUGAAUUUAAAAGUGUGAGACUUAUUAUUUUGUGAAUAAAG
rnacentral:misc_RNA from 1 species